UAGCUCAGUUGGUUAGAGCACCACCUUGACAUGGUGGGGGUCGUUGGUUCGAAUCCAAU
rnacentral:tRNA from 1 species